rnacentral:rRNA from 1 species
UAGGGAAUCUUCCACAAUGGACGCAAGUCUGAUGGAGCAACGCCGCGUGAGUGAAGAAGGUCUUCGGAUCGUAAAACUCUGUUGUUAAAGAAGAACACGUAUGAGAGUAACUGUUCAUACGUUGACGGUAUUUAACCAGAAAGUCACGGCUAACUACGCGCCAG